rnacentral:rRNA from 1 species
CAGCUCCAAUAGCGUAUAUUAAAGUUGUUGCAGUUAAAAAGCUCGUAGUUGGAUCUAGGGACGCGCAUUUCAAGCGCCCGUGUCGUUGGGUCAAACCAGCGACUGCGUUGGCGUUGCGGGCUCGGUCCGUCGGUGGCCACACAAAUGGCCACUGGCGUGUCAACCGGCCCGCCCGUCCCCUCCUUCUGGAUUCCCGUUCCUGCUAUUGAGUUAGUGGGGACGUCACAGGGGUGCAAACGGGCGGCGGUGGGUCCCUGGGGCCCAGAUCGUUUACCGUGAAAAAAUUAGAGUGUUCAAAGCAGGCAGAUCCAAUUUUCUGCCACCGAAUACAUUAGCAUGGGAUAAUGGAAUAGGACCCUGUCCUCCUAUUUUCAGUUGGUUUUGGCAGCGCGAGGACUAGGGUAAUGAUUAAUAGGGAUAGUUGGGGGCAUUAAUAUUUAAUUGUCAGAGGUGAAAUUCUUGGAUUUAUGAAAGAUUAACUU